GGCUAACAGAAUAGAAGGAAAAGUCAAACAAGCCAGCUCCCAGGAUAGGACCCAGGGAGCCUCCAGGGCUCUAACAGCAGGAGCAAGAGAGAGGCUUUCCAGGAUCCAGGCUUCCCAACCUUUUCAUCCUGUGAAGCCUUAACUUUCUGGGAGAGAAGAAUGAAGAGGCUGGAGCCAGAAGGGAGAUGUGCAACACCUACCGAAGAUUCAGCAUCUGUCAUUAAAACUACUGCAUAAAGUGACACGGUUCCAUUCACUAAAUCUCAAGGUGGAGAUUUUCUUUGUUAGGAAAAGAGACUUUAUUUGGUAUGCCAACUUGAGAGAAGAGCUGAACCUCACCCUCUUUUUUAGAGCCACUCUGCUCACAAGAAGCCUGCAUUAUUUUUCCUCUGGUCAGUUGUUCUCAAAAGUGUGUUCUCAGACCAAAGGCCUCAAGAUUCUCUGGAGACUUGUGAGAAUUUGUUAUCUGAAUGAGCCACCCCCCCAAAAAAUAUUAAAAAAUUAAAAAGAAGGGGCACCUGGGUGGCUCAGGCAGUUAAGCAUCUAACUUCCUCUCAUGUCAUGAUCUUGUGGUUCAUGGGUUCAGGCCUCAUGUUGGGCUCUGUGCUGACAGCUCAGAGUCUGGAGCUUGCUUCGGAUUCUGUGUCUCCCUUUCUCUGCCCCUUCCCCACUCAUGCUCUGUCUGUCUCUAAAAAAUAGACAAAGAAACAAACAAAAUUUAAAGGAGCCAAAGAUGGCCUCUGGGUGUUGGCCCAAUCUGUUUUCUUCUUCACAGCAGUAUGGGACCAGUUAGCUCAAUAGCCCACUGGCACCAAACUUAAUUUUUUACAUAUCCAAAUGUU
rnacentral:lncRNA from 1 species